UAAAAAUUAGAACAAACUCCUUCCAUUCAGGGUUAUUUCAAUUAAACCAAACUCCUUCUCCUUCCACCUUAAAAUUCCAAACCCAUUUCCUUAAAAAUUCCAAACCCAUUUUCGUAAUCCUUCCUCCUUCAUUUUUGGUUUCGACAUUCUUGAAACACGAACUGUAACACCUUCUUCCUCCUUCUGAUAAUUUCAAAUGCCAACAAGCAGGAUUCAUUCUCAACUCUUACUCUUGAUUCUCGAUGAAACAGGUCCUUCAUCCUCUUCCUCUUGAUUCGAACUCUUUCCUUCCUUUUUCCUUCAUCUCUGAGCAACAAAAUUGGGCAGCAAACCCAUCAUUCAUUGAGGUUACGAACACCACUUCUCACGGUGGUUCUGCAACCCUAAUCGGCGUCCCCUCUCUUGAUUCUAGCAUUGGAGUUUCUGAAAUCUGCUGCAGCCUCGAACAACAUUCGCAAUUUCGAACCACAAUCGCAACUUUCAAUUUUCUGAUUUUGUCACCUAUCAUGAUUGAAGGCGACAUCAUCGAAGAACUUUUCUAGUUGAUAGCUGUGAUCAGGAUUCGACUCUUUGAAGAGACAUCGCAGGUGAGUAGUAGCACUCCCUUAAAGGGUCUGACCCAACUACAUUCUUAAAAGUAAACUUUUUACUAAAGCUCUUUUGAAUUGGAAAUUGUUGAGACAAAUGUUAUUGUGAAUGCUUAUGCUGAUAUUAUGAUAUGGUCAAUGGAUCAGGCUUGCGAGCUGGUCAUUAACGGAGUUGAGGAACAUUGUUCCCUGCUCCCUGUUUUUGAAGCGAAUUGUCAUUCAGAUAUUGACUAGCUUCACUCGAGAGCGACAUAGCCUUAGAGCUAUGGGGCACCUCUCAAACUAGACUUCAUGUGCUCACAUAGAUCUAGGAAACUUUUUAAACCUAUGAUUUGAAUUGCUAAGUUUUUUUGUUUUGGAUUGUUACUUCUCGUUCAGUUUAAUCUGACCCUCUGUGGUUUCCAACUUUUAGUUUGUCUACAGAUCAAAACCAGACGGGAAUAAUGGAUUAGCGGAAGUGAUUAUGUAACACCCCGAGAUUUUAAUAAUGAAAUUAUUAAAUAUUUUAAUAACUUUUAAAGAUUUUACAAUUAUAUUAAAUUAUUUCUGAAUUAGUUUUUAAUAAAUUUCUUGCAUACAUGAAUUUAAAUGUUAACUUAUAUAUAUAUAUAUAUAUAUAUAUAUAUAUAUAUAUAUUAAAAAUAUAGUUACGAUUUCUUAAAUAAAGAAGUUCGAAUCAAAAUGAUUAUUUUAUUAAAAUGGAAGCCCACGAAGGUGAGUCUUUUAGUUGGGUCUCGCAGGAAAACGAAUCGAGAUAAAAAAAAUAAUAAAUAAAUAAAUAAACCUAAUAAUAAAUAAACGUAAUAAUAAUAAUAGUAAUAAUAAUGAUAAUAGCAAUAACGAGUAUAAAACCCGUGAAAACUCUAAAUGCUCAAAGGAGCCGUCAUCCCUCCUUCUCUUCCUUCUCCUUCUUUCUCUCUUCUCCCCCUUGCCCCGCCAGAGAGCAGUUGGCCACCACCAAUCGCUGCACAGCCCACAGAAACACCACCAAGCAGCCCUGACCUUUCCUUCUCAUUCCCACGUGCAGGCCAGCAGUAGGCGGCUGCAGUUACACCUCACAGCAGCAGGCGACUGCAGGUUUGCUUCCCCUUUGGCUCUGCGCAGCCCUCCUCCACCACCGUGUCUUGAGUCACGCCACCACCACAAGAACCACCAACCUCUUGACCCAUUUUCUAGUUUCACCCAUUGUAAGCCAUCUCUCACUUUUCAAAUUGAUUAAUUUACUCAUUCUAAUUAGAAUCUACCAUGUUUAUGAGUUGUGUGUUGAUUGUGUAUUAGUCUCAUUGAAUUUCAGUAUGGUUAAUAGUUAAAAGAAUUAUCCUUGAACAUGAAAUGAUUAGGGUUUUAUUUAGAGAGGUGAUUACUAGUAGUGUGUGUGUGUUUGUAUGCUACUUUGGUGGUGUGAUGAUUUAUUCAAUAAUCUUAUAAGUAGUUUUAAGACUUGGUUGAUUAUUGUUGUGGCAAUUAGUAAUGUUUUUGAUUACAGUUGACUAUAGAAAUAAUUUGGUUGUUAAUUGGGAGUACUAGUUGCUAAUUGUUAGUGAUUUAAUUGUGAGAGUUACUAGUUGCUAAUUGUUAGUGAUUUAAUUGUGAGAGUUACUAAUACCUCAUUAGGUUGUUAUUGAAAUCAUAAAUACAUAAUUGUAAUAAACCAUGAACGUAGUGUCAACUGUUGAGAAUUAUUAAAGUUACUUGUAUGAUGCCUUGAUUUUAGUUCUUUGUAGCCUUGGAGAAUAUAAUAAAUGAUAUUGUGAUGUGAUAACUUUAAGAUUCGUCCUUGUCGUCAUAUUAGCACUACAUCAACAUUAAGUGUGAAUCAUCGCUUUAUAUUAAGAUGAUGUGAACCGUUAUAACUCAAAGUUAGUUGGUGUAACGAAGCAGUCGACAUAAUCCUUUUAUUCUUUGCCGAUGGAAAAACUUGUGUUAUUGUUGAAUUGACGAUUAUGCUUGGUGUUGAAUGAGAUGCGUACGUGCUGGAAACAAUUGAAAACUUGUCGUGAAUGGAUGAUAGUGGUUAGUUUGGUUUCUAGCGGGUAUGAGAAAGUAGUUAAGAGAACUUAUACGUUUUAUUCCUAACUUGUAUAGGUUCCCAAUUUAUAAGAGGAAAGUAGACCAUUAGUUGGGUGAUUUUUGUAACUUGUGGUCGUGCAGUGACGCUUGUAGGUACAUACAUGCAGCAAUUUAUUAUCAUGUUUAUCAUUACAAAGUAUUAUCAAUAUCUCAUGAUUAUAUACAUCGUAUUAGAAUUAUAGAGCGCCAGAAAGUAAACUAUGCUAGCGUAUAGUCAUAAUAGUGAUAUAGGCAAGUAGAAUGAAAACAUUAGGAGACUAUGAGAAUAGAUUUCUAAAUAGUAGGGAACGCACCAUGGUUGUGUGUGGUAUCAAAGUGAUUUCCUACUUAUUGAGCCUUGAUGUAUGAUUAGUUGGCGUGACUGAACUGGAUUAUGUCCGAUUGAUUUAAUAGUCCCCUAGGUGAGGUUCGACAGGACCACCGUAAGGGGGUAUGAGCAUACUUGGGUCACUGGGCGCCGGAUGGCCGAUACCGCCCCUUGACCGAGGUGAUACCAUGCGGGCCUUGCAAACCCCAAUAUGGUGGCCUCUUCACUGGUUUAGUAACCCAGUGUGUUAGUUUUUCCCGAAGGUAGGACCCGAGAGGGUCGGCUGGAGGGGGCAUGAGCUUAUACUUUGCCAUGGGCAUCGGAUGGCCGAUAACGCCCUUGGCUGUGUCACUAUGCCAUGAAUAGGGAAAGGAUCCACUACCUUUGAAUAUACUUGAGAGAUUAGUAGUUUGAAAGAGAAAUUAUGAGUAAAUAGAGGUGUUUAGACAGAUGAGUAGACUCGCUAUUGCCAUACUAUAUCGUUGUCUAUUGUUUUGUUCAAUGACUCAAAUUGUCAUAAGUUCAUUAAUUACUGACGUGUAUGUGUUUGUUGUUGUUUGCUCAUGACUCUCUAUGAUGUUUCUGCUAUGACACAUUUGACUAUGGUCAUUAUGUUGAGCAGCAGGAGGAUCAUAGCUUGACAUGACAGGUAUAAGAGCUUCUUUUGCUUUGCAUUGGGGGAAGAGCGAAGUACGAUCGUAACAAUUAUGUAUAAAUUGUCUAAUACUUGUAGCUUCUAUAUUAUUUGUAAAGUUUUCUUUUGGAAUUGUAUAACUUCUUUUGUAUGGAGCCAUGUGACUCCUUGUAUGACCCGUAAUUCCGCUACGUAGUUUUUGGAUGUAUAGUAGUGAGAAUACUCCUUUAGUAUCCGUCAGAAUGAUGCGUUAACAUUGGAACCACGAUCCUCGUUAGAGUUGAUGACUUGUGAAGCCGACGAUGAUUCUUUCUGUCGCGGCGUAUUCUUGAAGGCAUUAAAGGCCUUAGAUUAUUUUAGUUAUGUUAUCCAUUUAGAUAUUCUUGUCACAUCCUCAGUUUUUAGCAGAGAUGCUGCAAAUUUCCACUUA